rnacentral:rRNA from 1 species
UCUUACUACCUCCCGAAAUAAGAAGAUCUUGAUUUAUUAAAUUUAUAGAAUAAGGGUGUUUUCCUGUUGCACUAGGAACCUUUUAAAUGAAUCAAGGAACGAAAAGUCUACAAUUCUUAUGAUAUCUGGAUUCUUAAUAAAAGUAUUAAGUACUCUAUACAUUUGAGAAGUGGUCAGAUUUCUCAACAAAAAGAUUUUCAUUAACAUAAGUUUGGUCUUGGGUUAAUACCUCAUGAUCUUUUUUAAAAAAACAAUUUUGUAUGAGAAUGAUUUUUAAUAUAUUAAGAUCAUUAAUAUAAAUGUUUAUAUUAAUGAAUAAUGUUUAUAUUAGUAUUAUUUUAUAUUCACUUUUAAGGAACUCGGCAAAUUUUAACCUCAACUGUUUAACAAAAACAUAGCCUGAAGAAAUAAUCUCAGGUAAGCCCUGCCCAGUGGUUUAUCUUAACGGCCGCAGUAAAUGAAUCAAGGAACGAAAAGUCUACAAUUCUUAUGAUAUCUGGAUUCUUAAUAAAAGUAUUAAGUACUCUAUACAUUUGAGAAGUGGUCAGAUUUCUCAACAAAAAGAUUUUCAUUAACAUAAGUUUGGUCUUGGGUUAAUACCUCAUGAUCUUUUUUAAAAAAACAAUUUUGUAUGAGAAUGAUUUUUAAUAUAUUAAGAUCAUUAAUAUAAAUGUUUAUAUUAAUGAAUAAUGUUUAUAUUAGUAUUAUUUUAUAUUCACUUUUAAGGAACCCGGCAAAUUUUAACCUCAACUGUUUAACAAGAACAUAGCCUGAAGAAAUAAUCUCAGGUAAGCCCUGCCCAGUGGUUUAUCUUAACGGCCGCAGUACCCUGACUGUGCUAAGGUAGCAUAAUCAGUUGGCUUUUAAAUGGAGUCUGGAAUGAAUGGAGUAAUGGGGUUAUACUGUCUUCUAAAGUGGUGGUUGUAAAUUACUUAACAUGUGAAAAUUCAUGUAUUAUGAUAAAAGACGAGAAGACCCUUGGAGUUUUUACAAUAACAAUUAUUAUGUAAACGUUUUGGCUGGGCGGCCUAGGUACAUCUAAACUACCUAAUAUAACAUUAAUAGGGCAUUUUUUAGAAGAUUAUUUAAUACUACCCGAGGGAUAACAGCAUAAUUUUAUUUAAUGUUUAUGACCUCGAUGUUGGACUAGGGUCUAUAAGGCUAGCAGCCUAUUUAGCUUGUUCUGUUCGAACAGUUCACCCUACAUGAUCUGAGUUCAGACCGGUGUAAGCCAGGUCAGAUUCUAUGUUUAUUUUUUUACUUUUAGUACGAAAGGACCAAAGUUAAAG